rnacentral:rRNA from 1 species
CCUACGGGUGGCUGCAGUGGGGAAUAUUGGACAAUGGGCGAAAGCCUGAUCCAGCCAUGCCGCGUGUGUGAAGAAGGCCUUCGGGUUGUAAAGCACUUUCAGUGGGGAAGAAAGCCUUGGGGCUAAUACCCUCGAGGAAGGACAUCACCCACAGAAGAAGCACCGGCUAACUCCGUGCCAGCAGCCGCGGUAAUACGGAGGGUGCGAGCGUUAAUCGGAAUUACUGGGCGUAAAGCGCGCGUAGGCGGUCUGAUAAGCCGGUUGUGAAAGCCCCGGGCUCAACCUGGGAACGGCAUCCGGAACUGUCAGGCUAGAGUGCAGGAGAGGAAGGUAGAAUUCCCGGUGUAGCGGUGAAAUGCGUAGAGAUCGGGAGGAAUACCAGUGGCGAAGGCGGCCUUCUGGACUGACACUGACGCUGAGGUGCGAAAGCGUGGGUAGCAAACAGGAUUAGCUACCCGAGUAGUC